rnacentral:rRNA from 1 species
UUCGGGCGCCGGCGAGUGGCGAACGGGUGAGUAACACGUGGAGACCUAUCCAUUGGUGGGGGACAACAGCUGGAAACGGCUGCUAAUACCGCAUAAUCCCUACGGGGGAAAGAUUUAUCGCCAUAGGAGGGUUCCGCGUCGGAUUAGCUAGUUGGUGGGGUAACGGCCUACCAAGGCAACGAUCCGCAGCUGGUCUUAGAGGAUGAUCAGCCACACUGGGACUGAGACACGGCCCAGACUCCUACGGGAGGCAGCAGUGGGGAAUAUUGCGCAAUGGAGGAAACUCUGACGCAGCGAUGCCGCGUGGGUGAAGAAGGCCUUAGGGUUGUAAAGCCCUUUCAGUGGGAACGAUGGUGACGGUACCCACAGAAGAAGCCCCGGCUAACUCCGUGCCAGCAGCCGCGGUAAUACGGAGGGGGCGAGCGUUGUUCGGAAUUAUUGGGCGUAAAGCGCGCGUAGGCGGUUUAUUAAG